ensembl:lncRNA
CAGAUUCCUCAUGAAGAAGAGGUUUUCUGACAUCAGAUUCCUCAUGACCUGCCACUCCCUCCUGGACUUGCUCUGCGCUUUACCUGCUUGCUGCCUAAGGCUGGCCACACUGCUGCUGCUCUCUCCCAAGAAGAAGCUUCCAGGCUCUUAACCAAGUCUGGGAAUAGGAGUGUCUUCUCACCUAACAUAGAACUUCAGCAACCAGCUUUCAGGACUAAACCCAUAUGUCAUCCAUCAGUGAUACCAUAAGGAUUCUUUCCCCCAUCCCACUGGGAAGGAGCUGUGUGGUUCUUAGCUGCCUGGUGGGUUAAGCCACAAGAGACAACUAUCAUCCUUUUAAACUCUUCCUUCUCUGGAUGUAAAGACUGAGGUUUACUACUACCUUUAAACUGCAGGAGAAAGAGAGAUGGGGAAAAAUAAUUAUUUUGGGAAUAGGUAUUAUAGUAGUGAUUAUAUCAGUCUGUUGUAAUGAAAGCAUAUGGUGGUGUGAACCUACAGGCAAUUCCUGAAAAAUAUUGAUUUUUGUCAUAGUGAGGCUCAAAAACAAGCCACAGCAUGUGUGGAAAUUCUUUAGUGUAUAUUAAAGUAUUGUGAGAUUGUGCUCCCUGCUGCUACCAACUUUCUCUUUCAGCCUGGACAUUAUGCCCGUGGCUUUGCACAGGACUGAUAACAAUGUCUUGCUAAAUACUAUGACCACAUAUUAUCAUCUUACCCCAUAAAUAGUGAGAAGCCCAAGAGCCAACAGCUCUAAUUCUCAUAAAAAGAUUGCACGUGAUCUCUCCAAUUCCUUCUAAAUAUUGUGAAUCUUGAGUGACUAUUGUUUUGGAGUAGAUUAUGUGGAAUAAUUAGUGGAGGUGACUCAGUGCAAUAUACCCAUCUUAAGAGAAGGUACAGC